CGGAACCUGGCCUUGGCGUGACGGCUCCCUGGGCUGUCUUCCUGGAGCCCCGCUGUCUGCAGCAGUCCCAGAGACGUGGCCGAGACCAGCAGGGCUUCUAGCUGACAAACGUCCCGGGACGCCGCCUCCGUGUGCGCUCAGUCGUGCAACGCGGGGGCUGCCGAGAGGACAGACUGUGCAGCCAGCGCCCGCCCCCCGGACCCCUUCCCCGGCAGGGGUCUCUCCAGGCCCGCAGCCCUUUCUCCGAACACCAUCCUCGGGAGGAAGGCCGGUCCGGGGCUCUGACAGCCGCCGGCAGCUGGUCCGGUGCGUCUACACUGGCCACCGUCCGCAGGUUUUCACCUGAGCCCACCCUCUCUGCGCCUUUCAAAGCUCAGCGCUGCCCCCACUGCAGCAUUACUGAAUAAAAUCCGUUUCUCAGCUCCGGGCCCUGUCCGGCUUCCUUCGGCAGCCAUGCCGCCUUUCCGACGCGCUCGGUCGGUGAGUGGCGCCCGCGUCCUUCCCACGGUCGCCUCGUCCUUCGCGCGGGGACCCUCCGCUCUGCCUUCAAGGGGGCCGCCCGCUGCAAGUGGCCGGGUGGGGCCUGGCUGUCCACCCGAUCCUCGUUCCUGGUUGGGAGGUGGGGACGGCGUGGAGACCCCCAGGAAGAGGAGGACGUGAGGGUCUGGCGUGGAGCCGCACUCGGCGCGUGGCUGGCGACCACGUCCUCAGCACCGAGCGGGCCCCGCCGCGCAGGCCGGCGCCCCGAGGCCGCGGGAGUCCCGAGGCCGCACCCCGGGGCCCUGCCCGGUGCCGGCUUGGCUGCUGGGCUCCCUCCUAGACGCCCUCCCCCCCAGGGAACCCCGCAACCUGCCCUUCGGCCCACAGGUGGGAGAGCACUCUGAAGGCCCAGCACGUACGGGGAGCAGCCGAGGCCACCCUUCCGAGCUGCGUGUUCUUGGGCUCGACACUC
ensembl:lncRNA